rnacentral:rRNA from 1 species
UACGUAGGGUGCAAGCGUUGUCCGGAAUUAUUGGGCGUAAAGAGCUCGUAGGCGGUCUGUCGCGUCUGCUGUGAAAACUCGGGGCUUAACCCCGGGCCUGCAGUGGGUACGGGCAGACUAGAGUGCGGUAGGGGAGACUGGAAUUCCCGGUGUAGCGGUGAAAUGCGCAGAUAUCGGGAGGAACACCGGUAGCGAAGGCGGUUCUCUGGGCCGAUACUGACGCUGAGGAGCGAAAGCGUGGGGAGCGAACAGG